rnacentral:lncRNA from 1 species
CGGAUGGGGCCACAGUGUCUUCUGAUCCCUCCUGUCUCAGCCUCCAGUAUUUAUGCUGCAGUAGUUUAUGUGUCGGGGGGCUAGGGUCAGUCUGUUACAUCUGGAGUAUUUCUCUUGUCUUAUCCGGUGUCCUGUGUGAAUUUAAAUAUGCUCUCUCUAAUUCUCUCUUUCUCUCUUUCUUUCUUUCUUUCUCUCGAAGGGCCUGAGCCCUAGGACCAUGCCUCAGGACUACCUGGCAUGAUUACUCCUUGCUGUCCCCAGUCCACCUGGCCGUGCUGCUGCUCCAGUUUCAACUGUUCUGCCUGCGGCUAUGGAACCCUGACCUGUUCACCGGACGUGCUUGUUGCACCCUCGACAACUACUAUGAUUAUUAUUAUUUGACCAUGCUGGUCAUUUAUGAACAUUUUAACAUCUUGACCAUGUUCUGUUAUAAUAUCCACCCGGCACAGCCAGAAGAGGACUGGCCACCCCUCAUAGCCUGGUUCCUCUCUAGGUUUCUUCCUAGGUUUUGGCCUUUCUAGGGAGUUUUUCCUAGGGAGUUUUUCCUAGCCACCGUGCUUCUUUCACAUGCAUUGUUUGCUGUUUGGGGUUUUAGGCUGGGUUUCUGUACAGCACUUUGAGAUAUCAGCUGAUGUACGAAGGGCUAUAUAAAUACAUUUGAUUUGAUUUGUUUUUAUGCCUAUGGUGUGCAGAACACAAUACAUGAUCGUAUGGCUUUUUCAAAAGAUCACUUAGCUGCAGGUGCCUUAAUGCCUCAUAUUUUCAUACAUUGAUCUGGAGCUGUUCACAAUUACUGGGGCUUCAUGUCCGAAGAGACUGAUGUUCUUUACAACAUGUUCAGUCUCCCUGUCACGACCGUCGUAUGAAUAAUUGGACCAAGGCGCAGCGUGAGUAGAGUUCCACAUUUUAAUGAUAAUGAAACUUCCCAAAACAACAAAGAUAUAACGAUCGUGAAAUACGUAGCGCACAUAGGCACUCAUCCAAAACAAUAUCCCUGAGAAAAAGGACACACUAAGUAUGAUCCCCAAUUAGAGGUAACGAUUAACAGCUGCCUCUAAUUGGGAACCAUACACACACACCAACAUAGAAAUAU